AUGUUGGACGUUUCGUGGAACCC
rnacentral:piRNA from 1 species